rnacentral:rRNA from 1 species
UACGUAUGGGGCAAGCGUUAUCCGGAUUUACUGGGUGUAAAGGGAGCGUAGGCGGCGGGGCAAGCCUGAUGUGAAAGCCCGGGGCUCAACCCCGGGACUGCAUUGGGAACUGCCCUGCUGGAGUGCCGGAGGGGCAGGCGGAAUUCCUAGUGUAGCGGUGAAAUGCGUAGAUAUUAGGAAGAACACCAGUGGCGAAGGCGGCUUUCUGGACUGAAACUGACGCUGAGGCUCGAAAGCGUGGGGAGCGAACAGG